rnacentral:lncRNA from 1 species
CUCAUGCUGUUGUGCAAGCUGUUAAGUUUGUUUGCGAUAGGAAGAACAUUAAACAUCCGGUGCUUUGCAGCGAAAGUGGUCGGGCUAUCGUUUCUCAUCACUCCAUUUUGAUUUUUGAAGCUGUCUCCGCAAGCAUGUCAAGUGCAGCUGCAUCAAUGACUUCUGCAGGGUUUCAGUAUUUUGUGGAUGGACUUACGGAGGAUGCAAUUUCUGAUUACAGAAACUUAACAUCUGCAGCUAUGAGAGGUGAGAACGAUACCUGCUUGCUCUAUGCUGACCAAUUGAAACAAAGAUGUGUUGAUCAGUUCAAAGAAGGUAGUAUCGGUAUGGAACAAUUAGCUGCUGUUGAUAGUUUAUGUGAAUUGGUUGGUAAAGCUGUUGGAUUAUCG